GUUUACUCAGUCUCAGUUCUUUGUCACAAACUCUCAACCAACUUUAACUAGUAAUAUAUUUGCUCAAUCUCAACCCCUAGUAACACCUAACAUGCAACCUCUUAAUGCCAUAUCAAGCAUUAUAUUACCUCAUAGGAAUGACUCUAAAAAAACAAAUUCCAAAUAUAUCCUAAAAGAAAGAAAUUUGGAAAAGCUGAC